GUUUUUAUAGUUGAAGCACAACGGUGGUUUUUCAUAUCAUUAGUCCUAGUUAAAGUCUUGGUAAAAAUU
rnacentral:tRNA from 1 species